GUGUCAGCAGCCGCGGUAAUACGUAGGCAGCAAGCGUUGUUCGGAGUUACUGGGCGUAAAGAGUGUGUAGGCGGUCGUCCAAGUUUGGUGUGAAAUCUCCCGGCUUAACUGGGAGGGUGCGCCGAAAACUGGAUAACUGGAGUAUGGGAGAGGAAAGCGGAAUUCCUGGUGUAGCGGUGAAAUGCGUAGAUAUCAGGAGGAACACCUGCGGUGUAGACGGCUUUCUGGACCAUGACUGACGCUGAGACACGAAAGCGUGGGGAGCAAACAGGAUUAGAUACCCCCGUAGUCC
rnacentral:rRNA from 1 species